CCUACGGGGGGCAGCAGUGGGGAAUAUUGGACAAUGGGCGAAAGCCUGAUCCAGCCAUGCCGCGUGUGUGAAGAAGGCCUUCGGGUUGUAAAGCACUUUCAGUGGGGAAGAAAGCCUUGGGGCUAAUACCCUCGAGGAAGGACAUCACCCACAGAAGAAGCACCGGCUAACUCCGUGCCAGCAGCCGCGGUAAUACGGAGGGUGCGAGCGUUAAUCGGAAUUACUGGGCGUAAAGCGCGCGUAGGCGGUCUGAUAAGCCGGUUGUGAAAGCCCCGGGCUCAACCUGGGAACGGCAUCCGGAACUGUCAGGCUAGAGUCCAGGAGAGGAAGGUAGAAUUCCCGGUGUAGCGGUGAAAUGCGUAGAGAUCGGGAGGAAUACCAGUGGCGAAGGCGGCCUUCUGGACUGACACUGACGCUGAGGUGCGAAAGCGUGGGUAGCAAACAGGAUUAGAUACCCGUGUAGUC
rnacentral:rRNA from 1 species